AUCUUUUUUUAUUAUUAUUAUAUAAAAAUUUUAUACAUUUAAGAGUGGGUUUUAAAUAUAGUUGAUCGCAAAACCUCGCUAACGCUCGGUUCGCUAAAUCAGUAAUGAUCCUUCCGCAGGUUCACCUACGGAAA
rnacentral:misc_RNA from 1 species